rnacentral:SRP_RNA from 25 species
GGAGCAACAGUUCUGCGUGAAGCGGGUCAGGGGAGGAAUCCAGCAGCCCUAAGCGAUUUGAAUUGUGUGCUCUUUUU